rnacentral:misc_RNA from 1 species
CUGGUCUCUGCUCGGCAACCACUCCGCACUCGAUCGUUGCUUCUCGGUGUGCCUGUGAUCGUUGUGCUGUCACGCGCUAUCAGGCACGAAUGUAUGCAUACGAAGGCAUACGCGUUUCUACAGUUGUUGGCAGGAAGCAGUUCGUGAGGAGUUCUUUUAUUGCUUCUUUGGCUGCCGCUGAACUUGGCGAGGAGGCAUGCAAAAGGCUCCGUUUGCCGCUGAGCACGCAUCUGUUCAGCGUUCGACGCAGCCCCGGCACGGCGAUGGCUCGCUUCAAACGCUGCGCCCAUUUUCUGUAGGUCCUGGCUCUGCAGUAUCUGCACAUGCACAGAGAUGGCCACUGCAGCCAGCGAAGGCACAUGGUAGCACUGCGACUAAGACGACGAUCCCUCCAUAUGCAAUCGCGGCCGGCGGUACCGCGGUCAGCUUUGCCGGCCCCACGGAAGCGCCUGACAGUUUAUUGAUGUCGUCGCCCUCGACCGCCUCCCCGGCGCCUCCAGCGUACACGGGUGCUGCGCUGCUUGCCGGAUAUACGAGCAGGCGAAAGAUCGUGCAGAAGGCGGCCGCCCUCUCCGCGCGCAUGCGCCGUCAGGUGCAGGAUGUUGUACAGAUGGAGGAGGAGCAGCGGCUGCUGUCGCAGGCGUACCGUGGCCGGCAGAAGCUUUUGGAGCAGCAGCCGCAACCGUUUCAGCAGGCCCAGACGAAUCCGAGAAGCGUAGCGGGCUUUGAGGACGCAAAAGCGGCGGGCGAGAAGGCAGCGUCGAAGGCAAGGGUGGAAACUGCUGGCGAUACGCCAUCUACACCUGGCCUUUCCUUCAAUCCAGCGUCGCCAGUCGAUGCUGCCGCGGCAUCACCCGACAAGAACAACCCUACACCGUUCCCAGAUGUCGAUAUCGGGCUAGCGUUAGAGGGGGCCUUGGACAUCAAGCAGUACCUAAAGCAGCAGGCGCAGGAGAAGAGCGACACCCUGAUCAAGAUGCGCGGGAUACAGCAGGCGAUCCUGGAGCUCAGCGAGGAGGCUACCGCCGACGUGGAGCGGCGCUUGACCCAAAGGAACUACUCAACCUCCGUCGAGGAGGCAGAUGAGCCCUCUAAAGCGCUCACGGCUGUGGACUUUGGCGGCCUAGCGACGGAUGACAAUGCCAACCGGCACCCUGCCUCUGUAACGGAGGCGAAAAGGAAGGUGGAAAUGAUUCAAGAGCUGCGGUCGACCUUGAAGGAGAUGCUCGACACUCACCAUGCACCUUUUGUGGCCCAGUACUCGACGGUUGGCAGAAGCGUCAGGAGGGGCACAACAGCGACAGAACUGCCAGGGUCGACGUGGCUUGAGCAGGACGCGGCGUACCGCCCCCCUGCACCUUUGCAAAUGUUCAGCACGAACGCGUUUGCUGUCACACUGGAGUACCUCAGCGACAGCAUUGCCUGCAUCGCACAUAUCGCAGACGAAGUGUGUGUCGCGACAACCUUCCGCUCACGCGCGGAUCCAGUGGUGCUGCUCCCCCACCUGGAAUCACUGCAGAAGUGGUUUGCGCAGGCUGAACGCUGCCUUGACACGGCGCAGCGGCAUCUCCGUCACUUCCAGUUGGGCGAAGCGGCUUUACUUGAUGGCGGCGCGUACGAGGUGAACAGCCUGCGCGAGCAGGCGCUCCUCUUGAGAGAGUCGCUAACUGCGCAUGAUCAGAAGGUGAAGGCAGUGGAGGAGGCGAAGGUGUCGGUGCUGCAUCGUCUUCGCGAGGUUUGCCGGCGCUGCUACCUCUGGGAGGCGCACUUACUUCACCGCAGAGACUCCGUCUACGGUGAUGGCGCCUCUCGGGUGUCGAGCUCACUGGAGGGGAUCGGCAGUGGAGCGGCGCUAGUGUACUUCUCCGCCCCUAAUGUGAAAGUGUUGGAGCCGACGCUGAUGCACGCGGGACCUAAUGUGGAUGCAGCUGGAACGAUGGUGCCCGAUAGCAGUCUUAGUAUUUCAUUUCCGUACACCACGGCACCUCCCCCAUGCGCCGAGGCUCGCCUCAUCGCCGCUACGACAGAGGAAGCCUCCUCCUCGGAGGUGACGAAAGCCAUCACGGCGCGGCCUUCGUCCACAUUGCGUAAUUCUCACCGAGGAGGCAAGUGGAGUUUCAGAGUCAGAAGUGAUGCCGCGUCACGGCCUCUGAACACCUCGUCGCCAAGCACGCCAUCUCUGUCACUGGCUUCCAUCUGCGCGCGCGCUCAUCAGCCACUGACGUCAUUGUCGCUGCGACUCAUUGAGCAGCGCGUUGCUCGCUCGUGGUGCAACCCGUAUGUCCGCAAAAAGUACCUAUGCCAGCGUGCAGAGCAGGUGAUGAUGCAGCAUCAGCCUCAGCAACAACAGCUUCAUGGGCGUUCAGCAGAGCAGCGGCGUUCUUUCUCGCGUGUGGGCGCCUCGAUAUCGGAAGACCUGGGGAGCGGAGGCCGCAAUCUGGCUAUGGAGGCAGCGCGGGCGCCGACCUCGCACCCGCCCAGCUUCAUCUCUUUUGACUCGGCUCACCGCCACCCAUCCUCGUACGCGAUCAUGGAUGCCACCGCCGCCGCGGAUGAUGCGGCUGGCCGAGUCGCGCUGCCGCGGCUGGGGUCACACACUGACGCCAGCCACAGCAGCACUGUUGCCGAGUCAAAGCGCAGUGCCAGCCGUGUCGCAGACUCCCUGGCAGCGUCGGUGGCCGGCUCGACAGCUGCCUUGGGGGAGUCGGUGGAAGAUCUGGCAGAUGCGCGCACCGUUCAGCUGCUGCAGAGCUUACUGCGCAGCAUACCUUCUAAAAACUGUGCCUUCCCUCGCGAUCACGCUAAAGGCACGGAAGGGAAGCGCGAUACCGGCGGCAACAGCGGCGAUGUAACGGCCAACUCAUCGCUGGUACAGCCACCCUGCAUUGAUGUAACACAGGAUGAGGAGAAAUGCGCUGCAAUGCGGCAUAGCAUCCAGCGACUCAGCAGGUAUCUGGCGACGUGCACAACACGUCCCGCAUCAAGCCGGCAGUCCAUCUUUCAAAAGUACCCCAAGGGCGGGGGACUGGCAAAUGCGUUUUGCGGAGAGGAUGAUAUGAGUGGGCGUAUCGACGCGAGCAAGGGGGCAGACGAAUAGAGGGGCGUCGGCGACAGAUAGAGGAGGGUGUAUGCGAGGGACCUCCCCGCCCCCGCCCGCCCCUUUCUGACGCUCUGGCGUUCGUUCUCGCAACUGUUGCGUUGUUACCACACCUCUCUCUCUGGCUAGCUGCUGCCGUUCCGCUCUCCUCACGAGCUCUUUUCCUUGACUUUUCUUCUGCCUUGCGCCCCCUCCCUUUCGUGUGCUCUUUGCUUGAAUCCCUCGUCUCCGCGGGUGUGAUGGUGAGACCGUGCGAGUAAACCGCUCAAUAUCUCAUGAAUUACGGAACGCGAGGCACCACCGCAACUGACUAGGCAGUGAAACGCGCACGCAUAACAGCGCAGACAGGCCGCUGCUGAGGAUGUGUAUGCCAUUUUUGUGAGAGUUUUUCGCUUUAUGUAUGUAUAUAUACAUAUAUUGUUUUGUUUUUCAUUCUUCCAUGUGUAACCGUACUCAUCAUGUGCAGUCGUUUCUUCUUCUGUUGGUGCCCGCAUCUUUCCACGCGCCUUCCUGCUUUGAAACCCUGUGUGCGGUGUGUCUCGCGCUCUCGCUAUCUGGACUGCUUUUGGAACUAUUGCAUUCAAAGUUGUGGUGUGCGUGUGCGUGUCUAUAGGUGGGUCUGAGCAUGAGGACCUGCAGCG